AUGGCUCUCAACUUCGGUCGCUCCAUCUCUUUCCCUCUCACGCCGGCGAGGUCCUUCUCCAAGCCCCGCCAUACCCGCUCCAUCAGCCUUCCGGGUAACGCCUCCUCCCACCCGCUCCUCGCCAACCUCCACGCCCACAUCGCCGCCGUCCGUUCCUGGAUCCAGCAGGGCCCUUCCUCCUCACUCCCGGCCGGCCUGGCCGCCAUCCAGGCGCUCCACUCCUCCCUGGCCAACCUCCUCCUCCUCCCGGAGUCCGGGACCGUGCUUCGGAGCCCUACCAGCAAUGCCGCCGACUACCUCCUCGAUGCAUUCCUCCUCCUCGCCGACGCGCACCAGGGCUUCCAUGAGUGCCUUAUGUCGCUCAGGCACGCCGCCACCGAGUCCUGCGCGGCCUUGCGUAGGGGCGACGCCGGGAGGCUCGCGUCCGCUGCCAGGUCCCAGCGUCAGGCCGAGAAGGAGCUCGCCCGUCUCGCCGCGUCCGUCUCUGCCGUCUUCUCCAAGAGCGCGCGCCUGAACCUCGCCGCCGUUAGCGGUGAGGAGGCCGAAAUGGCCUACGCGCUCGUCGAGGCGGCCGCUGCAAGCGCCGUGGCCUUCGCGGCCGUGUUCUCGGCCGCCGCGUCCAUGUCGACCGCGGCGUCAUCUUCCAAGAAGACAGCCACGUUUAUUCCCGCGUUCGCCAGGAGGGCCGCCACCGCGCCGGAGACGGCGGAGGCCACAGUGGAGAGGCUGCACGCUUUGGAAAGGUGCUUGAGCGAGUGCGACGGCGUCUGCGACAUGGUGUUCAGGAGCGUGGUGCAGAUCAGAGUUUCACUGCUCAACAUCAUGACGCCUACCAUCUAG
rnacentral:rRNA from 1 species